GUAUCGGUUUGUGAAGCCGAUGAAUCGUCCUGCGCUGCUGGCGCAGGUGCAGGUGCCGGCGCGGCGGCAGGCGCCGGUGCGGGUGCCGGCGUCGGAGUG
rnacentral:tRNA from 1 species